GGUCGCGCUACCAUGCAGUCGAGCGGAACGAGUUAUCUGAACCUUCGGGGAACGAUAACGGCGUCGAGCGGCGGACGGGUGAGUAAUGCCUAGGAAAUUGCCCUGAUGUGGGGGAUAACCAUUGGAAACGAUGGCUAAUACCGCAUGAUGCCUACGGGCCAAAGAGGGGGACCUUCGGGCCUCUCGCGUCAGGAUAUGCCUAGGUGGGAUUAGCUAGUUGGUGAGGUAAGGGCUCACCAAGGCGACGAUCCCUAGCUGGUCUGAGAGGAUGAUCAGCCACACUGGAACUGAGACACGGUCCAGACUCCUACGGGAGGCAGCAGUGGGGAAUAUUGCACAAUGGGCGCAAGCCUGAUGCAGCCAUGCCGCGUGUGUGAAGAAGGCCUUCGGGUUGUAAAGUACUUUCAGUCGUGAGGAAGGUAGUGUAGUUAAUAGCUGCAUUAUUUGACGUUAGCGACAGAAGAAGCACCGGCUAACUCCGUGCCAGCAGCCGCGGUAAUACGGAGGGUGCGAGCGUUAAUCGGAAUUACUGGGCGUAAAGCGCAUGCAGGUGGUUUUGUUAAGUCAGAUGGGAA
rnacentral:rRNA from 1 species